UUGUAAAGCACUUUUAGUGGGGAUGAAAAAUUCAGGGCUAAUAUCCCUGGGUCUUGACCUAACCCAAAGAAAAAGCACCGGCUAACUCUGUGCCAGCAGCCGCGGUAAUACAGAGGGUGCGAGCGUUAAUCGGAAUUACUGGGCGUAAAGCGUGCGUAGACGGUUAGAUAAGUCGGGUGUGAAAGCCCCGGGCUCAACCUGGGAAUUGCAUUCGAGACUGUUUAGCUAGGGUACGGAAGAGGGAAGCGGAAUUUCAGGUGUAGCGGUGAAAUGCGUAGAUAUCUGAAGGAACACCAGUGGCGAAAGCGGCUUCCUGGUCCAGUACCGACGUUCAGGCACGAAAGCGUGGGGAGCAAACAGGAUUAGAUACCCUGGUAGUCCACGCCAUAAACGAUGAGAACUAGACGUUGGGGGGGUAAGCCUCUCAGUGUCGCAGCUAACGCGCUAAGUUCUCCGCCUGGGGAGUACGGCCGCAAGGUUG
rnacentral:rRNA from 1 species